UUGAUUCAUUUUUUGUUUGUGAGACUCAGAGCAUGCCACUAAAUUAAACAAGAGUUUGGGUCCUCCGGCGGGCGCCUGGUUCCGGGCCGGUGAGGGCGCCGGGGCGGUCCCGCCGAGGCAACGUUCGGGUAUGUUCACAGGGGUUUGGGAGUUGAUAACUCGGUAAUGAUCCCUCCGCUGGUUCACCAACGGAGA
rnacentral:misc_RNA from 1 species